CAGACGUUUGCCAGGCAAUUUCCCUCUGUCUCUGUUUAUUUAGGGAAGAAAAGGAAUGGAAGAAAGAAAUGGAAAGUGGUAAGAAUUUAGGGUUACAAAAACAAGGCCAGGGGUAGAGACGCCAAAGAGCCUGUGCUGGACGAGCUUCUGCUGACAGUGCUGUUGUCAGAAUGUACAGGGACAGCAGAGAAAAUCAGCAUGAGAACAGGAGUGUUGUACAAAAUGCCUUUGCAGAAGAAUAGCCUCGGAUUGUGUUCCAUGGAGAUUUCUGUGAGUCGGGCCUUUGUAUCGAUUUACUCAUUGAUCAGCUACAAUGGUGCAGUGAUCGUAAAAUUUGAUAUCACUGUAGAAUUUACUGCUUUUGGAAGACUGUUAAAGCUACACGAAGAGGUACAAUAUCACAUCAUCUACCAUUAAUGAAGCAAUUACUGGGACAACCUUUCACUGGUGUAAGAGUCCAGCACUUGCUGCUUGGCAAACCACCUCUGACGGAUACACAGGCUCGAGAAGCCUUUUACCUUUCCCAUGUGGUUUGCAAGGAGAAGACCGUGUGUGGAUGUACCCGGAGAGAAGAGAAAUCAAGCCUCUAUUGUAUGAUGGUGAUCCUGACUGCUAUAAGUAAAAGUUGUGCUCCAGUUUUGAAAUUGUGUCAUGUAAAAAUGAAACAUUGGGUAUGCACACCAUGCCAAAAGAUUCUCAGGCCUUUUUUUCAGUUUAAAGAAAAUAUUUAUGCAGUUUAAAUUAUUCCUGGAAAUUCUGGGUAUCAUAGCAUUUUACACAAAUGAAUUUUAUACCAAAUGUGCAGAUAAAUCUCAGAAUAAGCAAUCAUGUACUUUUCAUGGUCUGGUUUUACUCUUUCUGGAUUCCAAUUUUGUAUGCUAUUAAGCAAAUGGGUACACGAAACUGAUAAAAGCGAAAAUUUAAUUCUCAUUUUGUGUCUCCAACAAAAAGACUGUUUCCAUGUCAGAUAAAAUAAAUAUCAGGAAAGGAUGAAGUGCACAUCCCAAGUCUGAAAUCUAUGUCUCUCUUUUGCUUUUCUAAUAAAAGAUAAUAUCAGUGUGAAAAGCCAUGGCUUGGCUCAUCAUCUGCUUUUGUUUGCCCUUUUGAUUUCCUUUAUGGGUGUAAAAGUAAUAAAAUCAAGCAACCGUAUCAUAACAAGGGAAAAUUGAUAUACUUUAAUGUUCUCUCAGUUAUUCUUAAACUGGAAUUUGGCUUGUUUUGUUGCUUAGGAAAUUCAUUUGUGAUAUUUUUCUUAUGUCACUCCUUAACAUUUACAGUAUAAUUACAAAAUACCUAUGAAGAGCACGGCAUGAG
rnacentral:lncRNA from 1 species